rnacentral:lncRNA from 1 species
AUAAUUCUCACCCCAUCUCCUCCUCAAGCCUCGUUUAGGAAUCUUCACUCAUUCUACAUUCACAUACUCUCAAAUGUUGAAAUUAUCUCCACAUAGCAACUGGUUAACCUGAGUCUUUCCAUCUCUUUCCUCAGAAUGUCUUUUAAUCAACUAUCCAUUUCUCAUUUUAUUGCAACAAUCCUUCUUCAUUCCUGGACAACUUUGAUAAUUUUAAAGUCUCCUGGCUUGAAGACAUUUCACUCUACAGUCUGCCUUAUAUGCCACCAUGAGUAAAUUAGUCUUCUUUUCUCAUCAUGCUGGUCUCUCAAUAAAAAUAUUCAGGAGCAUCUGCACAGUACCAUACAAAAAGUCUGUUUCAUUUUCUCAGAAGAGAAUUCCAUCCUUCUCCUUGGGAUGCCGCAAUUGGAGGGUGUGGACCCCGAAAUCCUGGAGGCCUUUGGUAGCUCUUGCACCUUAGGGUUCUGCACCGCGAGCGCGCGAAGCCCACACCUCCACCCUGCCUCCUGAAGCGGAGCGGCUGCUCUCUAUCCUGGCUCUGCAGACCUCCAUUCAAUAGGAAGCCUUGAGGCCAGCAGCUGCCCGCUAAGGCAGGUGACUACCAAGUGACAUUUGACGUUAUUCAUCCAUUUCUCUCUCUACACAGAGAUGGGGGAAGGGAGGCGGUGGAGCGGAGGGCGUGGAGAAGACUCAGGGCGGACGGGAAGCAGCAGUGCAGUGCGCCCCGGAAUCGCACCUCUCUGCAGCCCAGCGGCUGCCCAGGCUGCCCCCACCAGCCAGGCGCCUCGUCGCAAUUCCCCAGCUGUCUGCUCGCUACCUGCCUGGCUCGCCCGCUCAGAGCUGCUCCCCUGGGCCUCUCUCCAGCUCGGCAGUGGGCUGCGUCAGCAUCACGCCACACCGUCUCCGUUGGCCCGGCGAUCAACGCCUGACGGCCGGCCCUCUCUCCCCUCUCCGCUGGGGCCAAUGGGAGUCCGGGGAAGGUUUUGGUUACAAAUGAAAAUAAAAUAAAUAAGUCAUACUCCCGCACUCAGGAG